AAAGUCGUAACAAGGUUUCCGUAGGUGAACCUGCGGAAGGAUCAUUCAUAAUAAGUGUUCUACUGCACUUUUUAAAAAUAGUACUCACCUUGUGUGCAAUGUUGUGUGAAUUUCACACCUACACCAACCUUCAAUUUGAACCACUUUGUCUGAAAAACUAUUAUGAAUACUUAAUUCAAAAUACAACUUUCAACAACGGAUCUCUUGGCUCUC
rnacentral:misc_RNA from 1 species